UACGGAGGGAGCUAGCGUUAUUCGGAAUUACUGGGCGUAAAGCGCACGUAGGCGGCUUUGUAAGUUAGAGGUGAUAGCCUGGAGCUCAACUCCAGAAUUGCCUUUAAGACUGCAUCGCUUGAAUCCAGGAGAGGUGAGUGGAAUUCCGAGUGUAGAGGUGAAAUUCGUAGAUAUUCGGAAGAACACCAGUGGCGAAGGCGGCUCACUGGACUGGUAUUGACGCUGAGGUGCGAAAGCGUGGGGAGCAAACGGG
rnacentral:rRNA from 1 species